AGAGGUCUCAAGCGUUGUUCGGAUUCAUUGGGCGUAAAGGGUGCGUAGGUGGCGCGCUAAGUCAGGUGUGAAAUUUCGGAGCUUAACUCCGAAACUGCAUUUGAUACUGGCGUGCUUGAGGACUGGAGAGGAGACUGGAAUUCAUGGUGUAGCAGUGAAAUGCGUAGAGAUCAUGAGGAAGACCAGUGGCGAAGGCGGGUCUCUGGACAGUUCCUGACACUGAGGCACGAAGGCCAGGGGAGCAAACGGGAUUAGAUACCCCGGUAGUCCUGGCAGUAAACGGUGCACGUUUGGUGUGAGAGGAUUCGACCCCUUUCGCGCCGGAGCUAACGCGUUAAACGUGCCGCCUGGGGAGUACGGUCGCAAGANG
rnacentral:rRNA from 1 species